rnacentral:tRNA from 1 species
GGCAGUGUGGUCUAUUGGAAAAAGCACAAGACUGGAAAUCAGGAAUCCUGGGUUCUAAUCCCAGUUCCACCA